GUGUUCCCGGCCAUCCCGUGGGUAGCCUUCUCCUCAGUUCCAGGUCUGAGUGCCCCCCCAGACAUCCUGCUGGACCAGCGCCCUUCCAAGCAGGCUGACUGCCCCGACGCCGGACCCCCUCGCAGUCCCCCGGAGCAGACCCACCACU